CGCGUUGUAGGCUCGAUAUUUCCGUCAUCGUUAUUUCGGACGUCGCGACCCGUUUGGUGUCGGUUUGAGGAGACGCGUGAAAGUUCGUUAGCGCGUCGGAGCUUCGGUUUCGGCGCGUCGGCGAGUACGCGUUCUAUUUCUAGCCGACUCGCCAGACGGUACGUAAUGGUGAUCGCGGCGGCCUCAGCGUCGCCGCUCGACGCCUGUCUGCGACGAAUCUUCGAGUCUCUUUCCGACCCGUCUUGAAACACGGACCAAGGAGUCUAACGUGCGCGCGAGUCGCGGGGUAUCGAACGGUCGGUGUUCGCAUCGGCCGUUCGUUAUAAUACGAAACCCGUCUCGUUUUACGAAAGGCGCAAUGAAAGUGAAUUUUGGGGAAGAUGACGUUACCGAGUUCACGUUCCGUACUCUCGUAGUGCGGCCGGUCGUCCGCAUUCCCAGGGUGUCUCAAAGUCCGAUUCUAUUGCGGACUGCCGCCUCUUCGGGGACGGUAGUCGGAUUCUAUCGAGCUGAGGCGCACCUAUAGCGUGCACGUUGGUACCCGAAAGAUGGUGAACUAUGCCCGGCCAGGAUGAAGUCAGGGGAA
rnacentral:rRNA from 1 species